UACGUAGGGUCCGAGCGUUGUCCGGAUUUAUUGGGCGUAAAGAGCUCGUAGGCGGUUCCGUAAGUCAGAUGUGAAAACUCAGGGCUCAACCCGGAGACGCCAUCUGAUACUGCGGUGACUGGAGUCUGGUAGGGGAACACGGAAUUCCUGGUGUAGCGGUGAAAUGCGCAGAUAUCGGGAGGAACACCGGUGGCGAAGGCGGUUCUCUGGGCCUUACCUGACGCUGAGGAGCGAAAGCGUGGGGAGCGAACAGG
rnacentral:rRNA from 1 species